AGGACGAACGCUGGCGGCGUGCUUAACACAUGCAAGUCGAACGAGGUUCAAGGGUUAGCAAUAACCUGGAAAAUCUAGUGGCGAACGGGUGAGUAACACGUGAGGAACCUACCCCGGACUCAGGGAUAACAAGCGGAAACGCUUGCUAAUACCUGAUGCCGUCGGAGCAUCACAUGGUGCACUGACGAAAGAAUCUCGGUUCGGGAGGGCCUCGCGGCCUAUCAGCUUGUUGGUGGGUAACGGCCUACCAAGGCGACGAUCGAUAGCUGGUCUAAGAGGAUGAUCAGCCAGACUGGGACCGCGACACGGCCCAGACUCCUACGGGAGGCAGCAGUUAGGAAUUUUGGGCAAUGGGCGAAAGCCUGACCCAGCAACGCCGCGUGGGUGAUGAAGGCCUUCGGGUCGUAAAGCCCUUUUUCACGGGAAGAUGAUGACGGUACCCUGAGAAUAAGCCCGGCUAACUACGUGUCAGCAGCCGC
rnacentral:rRNA from 1 species